UGCAAAUGAUUGUUGGUUCGA
rnacentral:siRNA from 1 species